CACAGGCCGGAGCGGACCACCAAUUCAACGGGUCUCGCUCCUCCCUCUAACUUCCACCUCGAGGAGGUCCCACAACACCCCAAUGAAUGGACGGACAACCAAGAUUAAAAUGUAACAAUUUUAUUUGUUUAAAAGUUUGGGGAAAGGGGUAAGGAAACUUUAAAACUAAUGAUGACUCGAACUAUUCUUUAUCCACAAAUACGGAUUCCAGUCUCAAGAACACUCCUCUUCAGCCCUUCCUCGACAACACUCCACUUCAGCCCUUAAUUUCCCGCCGACUCCACUCCAGGUAAGUUUAAAGCAAGAGCUAGGCAGUUGACGUGCAGGGGUUCUAGCUCUCAGGUAAAUACAGUGUUCGAUACACAGGUGGGUAUUCACAGGGCUGGGCUGUUAGCGUGCAGGGGUUCUAGCUCUCAGGUAAGUACAGUGUUCGAUACACAGGUAAGUAUUCACAGGGCUGGGCUGUUAGCGUGCAGGGGUUCUAGCUCUCAGGUAAGUACAGUGUUCGAUACACAGGUAAGUAUUCACAGGGCUGAGCUGUUAGCGUGCAGGGGUUCUAGCUCUCAAUGUAAGUACAGGGUUCAAUACACAGGUGAGUAUUCACGGGGCUGGGCUGUUAAUGCGCUACUCACCACUGAAGAUAUUCAGAGGUCUGUAUUCCAAGCAGAUACGGGUUUAGUCGA